UACGAAGGGGGCAAGCGUUGUUCGGAAUUACUGGGCGUAAAGCGCACGUAGGCGGCUUUUUAAGUCAGGGGUGAAAUCCCGGGGCUCAACCCCGGAACUGCCCUUGAAACUGGAGAGCUAGAAUCUUGGAGAGGCGAGUGGAAUUCCGAGUGUAGAGGUGAAAUUCGUAGAUAUUCGGAAGAACACCAGUGGCGAAGGCGACUCGCUGGACAAGUAUUGACGCUGAGGUGCGAAAGCGUGGGGAGCAAACAGG
rnacentral:rRNA from 1 species